UACAGAGACGGCAAGCGUUGUUCGGAUUCAUUGGGCGUAAAGGGCGUGUAGGCGGUUUGUUAAGUCAUGUGUGAAAUCCCUCGGCUCAACCUCGAGACGCCGAUGGAAACCAUGUGGCUAGAGUCCGGAAGAGGAGAGUGGAAUUCCUGGUGUAGCGGUGAAAUGCGCAGAUAUCAGGAAGAACACCCGUGGCUAAGGCGGCUCUCUAGUACGGUACUGACGCUGAGACGCGAAAGCGUGGGGAGCAAUCAGG
rnacentral:rRNA from 1 species